UACGUAGGGUGCAAGCGUUGUCCGGAAUUAUUGGGCGUAAAGAGCUCGUAGGCGGUCUGUUACGUCGGCUGUGAAAACCUGGGGCUCAACCCCGGGCCUGCAGCCGAUACGGGCAGACUAGAAUUCGGUAGGGGAGACUGGAAUUCCUGGUGUAGCGGUGAAAUGCGCAGAUAUCAGGAGGAACACCGGUGGCGAAGGCGGCUCACUGGACAUGUAUUGACGCUGAGGUGCGAAAGCGUGGGGAGCGAACAGG
rnacentral:rRNA from 1 species